GAUGAACGCUGGCGGCGUGCCUAAUACAUGCAAGUCGAGCGAACAGACGAGGAGCUUGCUCCUCUGACGUUAGCGGCGGACGGGUGAGUAACACGUGGAUAACCUACCUAUAAGACUGGGAUAACUUCGGGAAACCGGAGCUAAUACCGGAUAAUAUAUUGAACCGCAUGGUUCAAUAGUGAAAGACGGUUUUGCUGUCACUUAUAGAUGGAUCCGCGCCGCAUUAGCUAGUUGGUAAGGUAACGGCUUACCAAGGCAACGAUGCGUAGCCGACCUGAGAGGGUGAUCGGCCACACUGGAACUGAGACGCGGUCCAGACUCCUACGGGAGGCAGAAGUAGGGAAUCUUCCGCAAUGGGCGAAAGCCUGACGGAGCAACGCCGCGUGAGUGAUGAAGGUCUUCGGAUCGUAAAACUCUGUUAUUAGGGAAGAACAAAUGUGUAAGUAACUAUGCACGUCUUGACGGUACCUAAUCAGAAAGCCACGGCUAACUACGUG
rnacentral:rRNA from 1 species